GCAUGCUCAGUAUGGCUGCAGUGGUUCCCUUAGCUGCUUGCUACUGCCAUUUCCAAGGUUCUGUCACAAAAGACAGAGGAAGAUCAGGCACUUAGCAAAAUAGUAGUUUGGGCUGGGAAGGAAGCUUUAAUUCUUGAUGAUAAUAAUGGCGUCUCCUUCUGUCUGGAGAGCGAUGUGGAUGGCAAUCCAGUUAAUUUCAGUGGUUGGCCUAUUGAGUGUGAAGCUGGUCGGGGCCAGUCAAGAAUCUGGGAGUGUCAUUCCAGCAGAAAGUCGUCCCUGCGUCGACUGCCAUGCGUUUGAAUUCAUGCAGAGGGCCCUGCAGGAUUUAAAGAAGACUGCGUACAAUCUAGACACACGG